rnacentral:rRNA from 1 species
CCUGGCGGCGAGUGGCGAACGGGUGAGUAAUAUAUCGGAACGUACCCAAGAGUGGGGGAUAACGUAGCGAAAGUUACGCUAAUACCGCAUAAGACCUUCGGGAGAAAGCAGGGGACCUUCGGGCCUUGCGCUAAUAGAUGAGCCUAAGUCGGAUUAGCUAGUUGGUGGGGUAAAGGCCUACCAAGGCGACGAUCUGUAGCGGGUCUGAGAGGAUGAUCCGCCACACUGGGACUGAGACACGGCCCAGACUCCUACGGGAGGCAGCAGUGGGGAAUAUUGGACAAUGGGGGGAACCCUGAUCCAGCCAUGCCGCGUGUGUGAAGAAGGCCUUAUGGUUGUAAAGCACUUUAAGCGAGGAGGAGGCUACCUAGAUUAAUACUCUAGGAUAGUGGACGUUACUCGCAGAAUAAGCACCGGCUAACUCUGUGCCAGCAGCCGCGGUAAUACAGAGGGUGCGAGCGUUAAUCGGAUUUACUGGGCGUAAAGCGUGCGUAGGUGGCUAAUUAAGUCAAAUGUGAAAUCCCCGAGCUUAACUUGGGA